GUCUAUAUACGUAUAGCAUAUCAAUAAGCGGAGGAAAAGAAACUAACAAGGAUUCCCUUAGUAACGGCGAGUGAAGCGGGAAGAGCUCAAAUUUGAAAUCUUCAAGGUUUUACCUUGACGAAUUGUAGUUUAAAGAAGUGUUUUCUGUUGAAGUUUUGGUAAAAGUUCUUUGGAAUAGGACAUCAUAGAGGGUGAGAAUCCCGUAUUUGACCAUUAUUUUCCAGCUGUGUGAUACACUUUCAAAGAGUCGGAUUGUUUGGGAAUGCAGUCCAAAAUGGGUGGUAAAUUUCAUCUAAAGCUAAAUAUUGGCGAGAGACCGAUAGCGAACAAGUACCGUGAGGGAAAGAUGAAAAGAACUUUGAAAAGAGAGUUAAACAGUACGUGAAAUUGUCAAAAGGGAAGCGUUUGACACUAGUGUUGUUUUUCCGAAAAUCAAUUACGAAUGUUUUAUUUUUGAGGAGUUAUGACUUCAUCGGCUUGCUUCUCUCUUUAUGAAACUUUCUUAAUGCACUUUUCGGUUAACAAGUCAACAUCAAUUUCUUUUGUUGUAAAAGGGUAUGAGGAAGGUGGCUUUCUUUUCGGAGAAAGUGUUUAUAGCCUUGUAGCCUCUGCAAUCGGAGAGAUUGAGGUCUGCAGCGUAGAUCCUUCGGGGUUAGAUACAUUUGUGCUAAGUUAUAGCUUUUCAUAGACAACUUGUUGACUAUGUUUAGUCUUGUAGCUUACUCGCUUAUGCUAUUUUACCUACGCUUAGGAUGUUGACACACGCGCGUGCUCG
rnacentral:rRNA from 1 species